GAGAUGGGCCCCAUCAGGAAAGAGAGAAAGAAAGAAAAGACGAAAAAAAAGGAACAAGCAAAAUUUGAAAGAGUUAAAAGACAGAGAAACAAGGGCAUUAAAGGAAAAGGAAAAGAAAACAAUGAAGAGCAAAGAGAGGACAAUGAGACUACACUGAAAGUAAUGGGGUUAAAAUAAAAAGACCAAAAAAAGUAUAUGCCAUAUUUUAGUCCCAAAGGAAAUAAAAUCUCAGAGGACAAGUGAGGAAUGGAGCUGGUGGUAGAGGACUUUACACAGAAGAAAGGAAGGCUGGGUGGAAUGGGGUACAUGGUGGUGUGGAGGAGUUUAGCAGAGGGAGCAAAGUCAGGCAGCGCAGUAAUCAGCAGAGAACCCAGUCUACUA